rnacentral:rRNA from 1 species
GGGAUUGCCCUAGUAACGGCGAGUGAAGCGGCAAUAGCUCAAAUUUGAAAGCUGGCCUUCGGGUCCGCAUUGUAAUUUGUAGAGGAUGCUUUGAGGCAGCCGCCGGUCUAAGUUCCUUGGAACAGGACGUCAUAGAGGGUGAGAAUCCCGUAUGUGACCGGCUCUGGCACCUUAUGUAAAGCUCCUUCGACGAGUCGAGUUGUUUGGGAAUGCAGCUCUAAAUGGGAGGUAAAUUUCUUCUAAAGCUAAAUAUUGGCGAGAGACCGAUAGCGCACAAGUAGAGUGAUCGAAAGAUGAAAAGCACUUUGGAAAGAGAGUUAAAAAGCACGUGAAAUUGUUGAAAGGGAAGCGCUUGCAAUCAGACUUGGCUUCGGUUGUUCAACAGGUCUUCUGACCUGCCUACUCAAUCGUUGCCAGGCCAGCAUCAGUUUUGGCGGCCGGAUAAAGGCCCUGGGAAUGUGGCCGCUCCUUCGGGGGCGGUGUUAUAGCCCAGGGUGUAAUACGGUCAGCCGGGACUGAGGUCCGCGCUUCGGCUAGGAUGCUGGCGUAAUGGUUGUAAGCGGCCCGUCUUGAAACACGGACCAAGGAGUCUAACAUCUAUGCGAGUGUUAGGGUGUCAAACCCUUACGCGUAAUGAAAGUGAACGGAGGUGAGAACCCGCAAGGGCGCAUCAUCGACCGAUCCUGAUGUCUUCGGAUGGAUUUGAGUAUGAGCAUAGCUGUUGGGACCCGAAAGAUGGUGAACUAUGCCUGAAUAGGGUGAAGCCAGAGGAAACUCUGGUGGAGGCUCGCAGCGGUUCUGACGUGCAAAUCGAUCGUCAAAUUUGGGUAUAGGGGCG